AUAGAAGAAAAAACUGACCUCUCUUGAUGAAGAGAAGAUUCUGCCAGCAGACAGCCAUCAGACUUGAACUGCAACUCUUCCCUGGGUCUCCAGCCAGCAGAUUUUGGACCAGCACUGCUACAAUCAUGUCCUGGUUCCUAGAGAGAGGUUAAGAGUUCUACAACUCCAGAAGAAAUAUAGCCCUCUCCCAGAGGUCAUGCCCCUAGGAGCAGCAGAAUGAGAGCUUCAAUCCGCAUGCUUGAUUCACUAUUUCUCCCUCUUGGAUCUUGUCUUCCCAAAACCUUACAGGGUCAUGUGGGAAAGACAAUAUAUCUUCUUAUGCCGAGGAUGGAGCAGAACACAGGGAGGAGGGAAGAGCCAGGACAACACAGAG